UCCGAGGAGCGUUGCAACAAAACAGGCCGGAUUUCUUUCUGAUAGCGAAAGUAUGCCUGAUUUUUGCCAGGCUCGGAUUUUCAUUACAACGGCGCUCAC
rnacentral:ncRNA from 1 species